UAUAGCUUUUUAAGCCUGAAAGAAUCAAAUCUUUCUUCGUUCCAGCCAAAGAGUCCUUAAUUUCGUUUGCCCAUUCAGCGCUCAUCUCUUCUAAAUCGUCCAUAGUAUUUUCAAUUCCUCCUAACAUAUUCCCCCGUUGGGCUAAAUGGUCGUUUAUUUGAGCGAAGAAUCCUUUCUGUUGUUGUUGCCUUCUUGGAGGGAUAUAACUUUGAGCAGACUGAGAAGUCAUGGAAGGAACCGGGGUCAGUGGUUGCUUAACUGAUUCUGCUGGGCGAGCUGAAAUAACUUUAGGAGUCUCUAAAGUAUGCACUUUACUUUCAGCCCUGUUUUCACCUCCGAGUAAGAUAUCUAGCUCUUCAGCAGAUGUAGACUGUUCGCCCAGUAACCAAUUCCACAAGGAUUUACUAGGUCUUGGCGGUACAUGGGAAGCAUUGUGAGUAAUAAGCAUCAUGGGUGCCAAAUUCGCCAAUGUUCUCCCACUUCCUAAAACACAGCCAAAGGCUAAUUCAUGUGCUCCUAACGUUGGGAAAAUAUAAUCCCCAUUGCCUAGAAUAUCACCUUCUUUGAGCCUAAUGGAAUAGUUAGCAAAUUCAUUUCAAGUAAACACCUUACCUAUUUUUAUCAAUAUCCAAUGGAAGUUGCAUUUUACGUUCCUCACGAAGGUUUGGGAGAGAAUACCAAUUCACCGAAAGAUCAGAAUUUACGCAAACUACGGAACCCAUGUGUUUGGAAACAGUAGAAAGCACAAGAGCUGCUCGACAACAAACAGGUUUUCUCCAAUCCAGGUUACCCACUUGAUUAUUAAUUUUAUUAAAAACAGAAAUUCCUGAAUCGCCAAUAUACACGAGGAAAACUUCCUGUGGUAAGGGAUAUCCAACGCUUUGUAAUGAGGAUCCAGUGGCUGUCGCGAUCUGGCCAUCUUGAGUUAAAGAGCAUAUUUUAUAAAUGUUCUUAAUAUCUAAUUGUCGAGAUGAUUCAAAAUAAGCAGAAAAGCGCCCUGAAGAGGAAGGGUCUAUACGGAAUAAAAGUGUCAUCCCUCUAUAUGUUCCUGUGACUACGUAGAUUGAGGAAGGGCUUCCUUUAGGGUUCAUAACGACAAACUCGGCACUCGUAAGAAAAUCGGGAUCAGGUUUUCCUCUUCUCUCUAAUCCAAGCUCCGAGAUGCUGGUGUUACACAGUAUAUGGGGGCCACGCAUGUCGAUGAUUGUAAUUCCACCAUCCUGAUAUCCUAUACAAACAAAACCAAUAUUGCUCAUUUGGUUCAAUGUUACUCUUCCUCGUUUAAGAUCAAUAUAAUAUUGAGCAUGUAAUGUUCCCUCUAGAACUAAGGUAUCGUCCAAACGAUAUAUUCCGUUAGCGAGCUGAGCUGGUAAAUUUUCUUUAUGAUUUUUCCUUUUGCAAACAAUGACACGCCCAAAACUAUCAGCACAACUGAAUUCUGGAUUAUAAGUGGAAAAAGAGGCAGUAGUUAUAAAAGCUGAAGGCGUGAGAUGCUUUCGCAUUACAGAAGAGAAAUCCAAAUUUACGCAGAGAGAUGGAUUCAUAAAACCCUGAGAUAUAUCCCAAAUCGAUAAACUAAGACCAGUCGAUGUUAUAAGUAGAUUACGCUCAUCUAAUUUCUUAAGAUAGCCGGGACUAGGAGAUCCGCCAAAAAGACAGGAGUAAUGUGAAUUAACGGAAAUAGUAUCUUCAAUUUGAUUCCAAACUUUUUUUGUUACAGUUUGAAAUGCUAUAACUCGAAAAUCUGAAGCAAGGAAGCAUAAAGAGGGGGGAAUAGAAAGGCUCAUGUUUGAAAUAUUUCCAGUAGAAAUGUCGAGCAGCGAUAACGAGUUGUCUUCCGAAAGAAGGAGAAGAUUCUUGGGAUUAUGAGAUCCAUUGUAAUGUGGUGAGCUAGAAGGAAUCACCAGCAUAUCACGUACAGGGGGGAUGUCAAUAAAAGGAAAAAAGCGUUGUGAGUUUGGAUUUGCGAAAAAUUCCGCAAAUGUUUCAACAUCCUUUUUGGCAGGGAGAUUUCGAUAACUGAACAAUGAAAUUCCCUUUACCGGUGCUUCUUUCGGCAAACCACCUAACAUCAAAAUAAAUGAAACUGUUGGGUCUUCACAACAACACCACCUCAUAGACCUAAUGGGCUCAAGCUCCGUCUUAGGAGGAUUUCUCUGCAUGGGGGUAUACGUGUGUAUGUUUGAAUCGACAAAAUUUCGGACUUGUACAGGAUAUUCUUGAUCCACAUCCCAGAAUGCAAAAGUCGAAUCAGUAUAGUAACUAACAAAGUGAUCACCCCAAGGACUCCACUCUAUCCCUUUGACUAUAGGUCUUCGAUAAUUAUGGGGUGAUAAAACUGCAGCUGUACUACCUGGUGCAUACUCCAAUUCAUAAAAGCGUAUAACUUCGUCAGUCCUUAUUGAGUACAAAACAACGCCAUCCGGAUAUGCAAUCAAAAUCACACCGAGAUCCUUCGGGUGAAUCUGAACGCUUACAACUGGGGAUAGCUUUCCAGGAACUGGUGCAUAAGAGUAGCCUGAAAAUUAGUAAUAAAUUCAAAUAAACAACAAUGACCUCAACGUACCCAUCAUUCGCCAUUCCUCGUGUCUUGGGACAUACAAAUUUGGAACUUUGAAUUUUCCAAGGCAAUGUCUAGUAACAUCCCAUGGCACAACGGAGCCAUCACUCAUUCCAAAAAAAACCCAAUCAAUAGUAGGAUCCGUUACGGUACAUGUAACUUUUUGCUUGAGAAAGUAAGUGGCAGCUGGUUUUGAAAGGUCACGAUGUUUCAUCAAGGGAUAGCUUAAGACCGUAUUUCGAGAGUCAAUUACAAUCAAAUACGCCGCACAAAGGGCUAUAUGGACAAUGGUUGAACAGUCUGGAACUAUCACACUCUGGACAUGCUGUUUACCGUAAAUGUAUAUCCGAUUAGUACUAGAUACAAUAGCUAGUAAGCCUUGUUGAUGGUCUAAACACCAUAAUACUGGAUUUAAGGAAAACCCAAAUCGAUUCAACUAAUCUUUGUUAUUAAACAUUCAACAAGCAUUGCUUCCCUACUUACGUCGU